CCAAUAGCGUAUAUUAAAGUUGUUGCAGUUAAAAAGCUCGUAGUUGAACUUCGGGGUCUACCCAUUGGUCAGGCUUAAUUGUCUGCACUGGUGAGAUGGAUCUCUACCUUCUGAGGAACUUUCAUGCCAUUUAUUUGGUGUGAUGGGAAAUCAGGACUGUUACUUUGAAAAAAUUAGAGUGUUUAAAGCAGGCUAUCGUCUGAAUACAUUAGCAUGGAAUAAUGAAAUAGGACGGACUGAUUCUAUUUCGUUGGUUUCUAGGAUCACCGUAAUGAUUAAUAGGGAUAGUUGGGGGCAUUAGUAUUCAAUUGUCAGAGGUGAAAUUCUUGGAUUUAUUGAAGACUAACUACUGCGAAAGCAUUUGCCAAGGAUGUUUUCAUUAAUCAAGAACGAAAGUUAGGGGAUCGAAGACGAUCAGAUACCGUCGUAGUCUUAACCAUAAACUAUGCCGACUAGGGAUCGGACGAAGUUAAUUUUUUAAUGACUCGUUUGGCACCUUACG
rnacentral:rRNA from 1 species